GGAGUUGUGGCUCAGUGGUAGAGUGCUCGCCUAGCACAUGAGAGGCCCUGGGUUGGAUCCUCAGCACCA
rnacentral:tRNA from 1 species